AUGAGGCCUUUUGGAGAAGCCAAGUCAAUUUCGGGCCACCAAACCCUGCAACUGAGGAAGAAAAUGCCCUAUGGAGUAAAGGGAAGCGUGUACUUUGUCACACUCCCCGUCGUCCAAAGGUGCCUAGAGGACGGGCCAGACGCAGCAGAGCGACGCCCCAAGAGCGGAUUCCCCACGAGCAAGGGGACAUGAGACGGCCAUCUCGAGGCACAUCACAACCUACAGGCAACACUAUCGAGACCCAGGAAGGUAACCUGAUUGGGAGUCAGAGGAUCCAUAGUACCCGCAGCCUCCCGGACUUCAUAUUCAUCAUUUUCUAAAGAAAGGGUAAGGGAUCUCUUUUCUGCAACGGAAAAAAUAAGCUCCGCUGAUUUGACUCGGCACAACCUAAUGAUACAUCUAAUACCAAUAAUCUGUGCCUACCGAUACGAUACUCCUCCAAAAAAAUGA
rnacentral:rRNA from 1 species